GGGAUGAUGGUGUAAUGGAAACACGCCCCUCGGGGAGUCUAUCCGGGUUCGAUUCCCGGUCAUCA
rnacentral:tRNA from 3 species